UCUUGAAGAAAGUAUAAUAUUAUUUUUAUUUUUAAUAUGCAGGCAACCUGAAAGUGAGAGUGAACCUAAAGGGUAGUCUGGACAACAGAGAUGCCAUGAUAUCACUCUUCUAGAGUAAUUAUCUGUGAUGGAUGGACACAAAAAAAUGGAAAGAAAAGAAUGUACAUUACCUGGUUUCCUGGGAUUCAAACCUGAAUAUUGUGAUUUUAAUUUGACAAGAAAAUAUGAUAUAUAUGUAUAAUUUCACAGAUAAUUUACUUAUUUAAAAAUGCAUGAUAAUGAGUUUUACAUUACAAAUUUCUGUUUUUUUAAAGUUGUCUCACACUAUUUCUGUUGGUUAGUAGACACUAAUUCUGUC
rnacentral:lncRNA from 1 species